rnacentral:lncRNA from 13 species
AAAAAAAAAAAAAAAGAAGAAGGAAAAAGUCACCCGUGUCAGGUGCUUGCUCGAAUAUUAAGCAACUCUAAAACUGUGUCAAAGCAAAGGUUUUAGUACGAGAGUCACAGUUAUUAGUGGCACACACACAUUCGACCCCUUUUCAGGCUGGGCUGCUAGAAUGGAGUGAAUCUGAGACCUCACAGGAGUUGCUGUGUCUCACAGGAUGACUUCUGCAAGGACCAUGACUUUUUGCCACUUGGAGGAAAUAGAGAUGGAUGGACAGAAAUGUCAACUCAUUUUCCUGCUCAAGCAAACAAGAAGUCACAUGUAUACGUCAGACACAAGCAAGAAAGAAAUAGAAAAUGCAAAAAAAGUUUGCAAACCUGUAGAAAAAAAAAGAAGAAGAAGUGGAGAACACAAAGAGGAAUAAAAGAGAAGAAACAAGAAAAAGAACAGAAACACUAUCUCAAGAAACAGAACAAAGAUCUUGGAAAUUCUGCAACAUAAACUGGUCCCUAAACUUUGGCUGGCCCCAAGUCUGAGCAAGCACUAAAACAUAAAGGAUCCCCUAUUAAUAGCUUAUUUUAAGAAUCAGUUGAACAUAGCUAAAAAUACUUUCUAUGAGACCACCACCCUGAACAUGCUAUCUGUUCGCCUCCACUCGGUGGCCAGUUUCUCCUCAAAGGCUCCUGCUAGCCCUGCUUGACCCUUCUUAUAAAGAAAAGCCUUUUUGUGUUUGAUUUUGAGAGCUUGCAAAUCCUAAGCUUGGAGCAUUGUGAUAGCCUUUUUGAAUAAAGUUUCUCCUUAACCUAAGUCUAGGUUUGUU